CAUGGACUGGCCAUUGUUCUGAUUCUCACUAGAGGAAGAGCAGCUUCAAUCCUUCAAGAGAGAACAGAGCCAGGGAGGGUGCUGAGACCACACCCCCAUCUCCUGUGGCCCUACAGGGUGGCCAAGCCCAGACGCUCCUGCAAGAGGUGGCUGAUCAAGCUUCUCUGUUAUACUUGAGACUCCUCCACGUGGCCACCACACACUGCUGCUUCAGUCCCUGCAGGGCUGGUUCCAGGACUAGAUUGACAUCCUUGAGCUUAUGUUCAGAAGGAGUCUCUGCAUCCUUCUUCUGCUGUCUGGGCAGAGUCUGGGGCUCCUGCUCAUUUGCACCAGGUGCUGCCCCUUCCCAAGCUGGAGUAGAGUCCUUGAAGUCCUUGUAGGACUUGACUGUCCUGCACCCAGAGCUGUGCCUUCCACAGUGUGCCCGUGACACUUCUCAGUCUUCUUUGGUUGUUGGUCCACUGAGGAGAAGUCUGUCAGCGAAUGCUACAAUGUUUAAUAAGAUCCAGCAUCCCAGCAUGUCGGCACUGAAACUCAAAUCAGGAACUCGGCAGACAUCUUCACUCCCACCUUUGUUAUUUAUGUUGCUGUGACAUUUACAGCAAAUGCAUGAAGAUAAGUAAACAAAAUAAGCAGAAUGAGAGAUGGAAUGAAGUGAAAAUUACCUUUAUUUUCAUAUGAUAUUUUUGUAGACCCAGAAAACUAAAAAUACAAAAGAUCAAAAGCUCUUUAAACCAGCUGAAGCCUAUCGAAAAGGAGAAGAUAUGUUCCAUUCGGAGUUGUGACUCAAAGCAGGAGAAACCUGGGAGUGAGCCUGACCAGCAGCGCACAGGACCGUGUGG
rnacentral:lncRNA from 1 species